UACGUAGGGUGCAAGCGUUGUCCGGAAUUAUUGGGCGUAAAGAGCUCGUAGGCGGUUUGUCGCGUCUGCUGUGAAAUCCCGAGGCUCAACCUCGGGCCUGCAGUGGGUACGGGCAGACUAGAGUGCGGUAGGGGAGAUUGGAAUUCCUGGUGUAGCGGUGGAAUGCGCAGAUAUCAGGAGGAACACCGAUGGCGAAGGCAGAUCUCUGGGCCGUAACUGACGCUGAGAAGCGAAAGCAUGGGGAGCGAACAGG
rnacentral:rRNA from 1 species